UCCCCAGUGGCGCAAUCGGUUAGCGCGCGGUACUUAUAAUGCCGAGGUUGUGAGUUCGAUCCUCACUUCGGAAA